AGGGGACCAGUGUGUGCCAGGCAGCUGCCAUGGGUGGUGCCAUGGUUCUGCUGUAUGCCAGCCGGGCCUGCUACAACCUGGCAGCCCUGGCCUUAGCCCCCCAGAGCCGGCUGGAUGCCUUUGAUUAUGACUGGUACAACGUAUCUGAUCAGGCGGACCUGGUCAAUGACUUGGGGAACAAAGGCUACCUGGUGUUUGGCCUCAUUCUCUUUGUGUGGGAGCUGCUGCCCACCACUCUGCUGGUGGGCUUCUUCCGAGUUCACCGUCCACCGCAGGACCUGAGCACCAGCCACAUCCUCAAUGGGCAGGUCUUUGGCUCCCGUUCCUAUUUCUUUGACCGGGCUGGGCACUGUGAGGAUGAGACCUGUUCCUGGGAGCACAGCCGGGGAGAGAGCACCAGCAUGUCGGGCAGCCUAGGCUCUGGCAGCUGGUACAGUGCCAUCGGGCGUGAGCCAGGCUGGUGCGGGGGCAGCCAGACGAGGACCACUCCUCUGCUCUUCUCCCAGGUGCCGGGACCGGGUGGCCACCACCACAGCCUCUACUCUACCCCACAGACGUGACCCCCUCUCCACUGCUUCCCCCCAACACCCAGACCCAAGUCCCCUUUACCCUGGCCCUUGUGCCAACUUUAUCUGCCGCUUCUUCUUGAUCAGGGUCCUGGGGGCAGUGGCUGCCCCCUCCUCUAGCCGGCCCCUUGCUGCUCCUGUUGUAGUGAGCUUGUGCCACCUUCCUAAGAUGGGGGGCAUGGUCCUGGCUGCCAGAUGCCCAUAGCGCCCUGGCAUGACCUACCACCUCCGCUUCCACACCGGAGCCAGCUACCUCUCCUGUGCCUGCCACUCAAUAAACAGUGUCUGUGCCCUGA